rnacentral:rRNA from 1 species
AACGAACGCUGGCGGCAUGCCUAACACAUGCAAGUCGAACGAGACCUUCGGGUCUAGUGGCGCACGGGUGCGUAACGCGUGGGAACCUGCCUUUAGGUUCGGAAUAACUCAGAGAAAUUUGAGCUAAUACCGGAUAAUGUCUUCGGACCAAAGAUUUAUCGCCUUUAGAUGGGCCCGCGUUGGAUUAGCUAGUUGGUGGGGUAAAGGCCUACCAAGGCGACGAUCCAUAGCUGGUCUGAGAGGAUGAUCAGCCACACUGGGACUGAGACACGGCCCAGACUCCUACGGGAGGCAGCAGUGGGGAAUAUUGGACAAUGGGCGAAAGCCUGAUCCAGCAAUGCCGCGUGAGUGAUGAAGGCCUUAGGGUUGUAAAGCUCUUUUACCCGAGAUGAUAAUGACAGUAAUCGGGAGAAUAAGCUCCGGCUAACUCCGUGCCAGCAGCCGCGGUAAAGUGACUACUG